rfam:Drosophila virilis clone DVIF01_17_B21 (D1423) genomic sequence.
CGAUAAUGCAACACAAGCUCAACUUGGAGACUGAUUAACUUUUUGUUUCUAUUGUACAGUUUAUA